UACGUAGGCAGCAAGCGUUGUUCGGAAUUACUGGGCGUAAAGAGUGUGUAGGCGGUGCUCUAAGUUUGGUGUGAAAUCUCCCGGCUCAACUGGGAGGGUGCGCCGAAAACUGGAAUGCUUGAACAUGGGAGAGGAAAGCGGAAUUCCUGGUGUAGCGGUGAAAUGCGCAGAUAUCAGGAGGAACACCUGCGGUGUAGACGGCUUUCUGGACCAUUGUUGACGCUGAGACACGAAAGCGUGGGUAGCAAACAGG
rnacentral:rRNA from 1 species